rnacentral:rRNA from 1 species
AUUGAACGCUGGCGGUAGGCCUAACACAUGCAAGUCGAACGCGAAAGUCCUUCGGGAUGAGUAGAGUGGCGGACGGGUGAGUAACGCGUAGGAAUCUAUCCUGUAGUGGGGGAUAACGUUUCGAAAGGAACGCUAAUACCGCAUACGCCCCAAGGGGGAAAGGCGGGGGAUCUUCGGACCUCGUGCUAUAGGAGGAGCCUGCGUCGGAUUAGCUAGUUGGUGAGGUAAAGGCUCACCAAGGCGACGAUCCGUAGCUGGUCUGAGAGGAUGAUCAGCCACACCGGAACUGAGACACGGUCCGGACUCCUACGGGAGGCAGCAGUGGGGAAUAUUGCGCAAUGGGCGAAAGCCUGACGCAGCCAUACCGCGUGUGUGAAGAAGGCCUU